GAGCCAUUGGCAGGAGUAAGGAGGGUGGAGGAAGAACAGGCUAUGGGGGAAGAUGAAAGCUCUACAGCGUAAGGCGGCCUGGCUGAGCUGUCCCAGGCAGUGGUGCCUGAGAAGGCCCUGGUCUUCCUUGGUGUGAAAUUCUAUCAUUUUUAUUUAUUUAUUUUUAAAAGGUUUUUAUUUAUUUAUUCAUGAGAGACAUACAGAGAGAGAGGCAGAGACACAGGCAGAGGGAGAAGCAGGCUCCAUGCAGGAAGCCCAAUGUGGGACUUGAUCCCAGGACUCUGAAAUCAUGCCCUGAGCCAAAGGCAGACACUUAACCACUAAGCCACCCAGAUGUCCCAAAUUCUAUCAUUUUUAAAUGAUUUCUGAGACAGGGGCCAUGUCUUCCUGUUCAGUCUUUAAGAAUUGUUUGAAAUUGUGUGUGUGUGUGUGUGUGUGUGUGUAGAAGUGCGUCUGUUUAUUUUUCAGCUUUUAACCUUGCUAACUUUGCCUCUUAAAUACUAAUUAUCUGUUGGAUUAUGAUAAUCCUGUUUUCUUGAAACAGCUCCACAGGCCCUUCCUUUCUGUGAAAGGCCAAGCAUGUGGCUGUCUCUGUGCAGAAGGCCUCUGGACAGCACCAGUCCUGGGCUAAUUACCAGGGAGGCCAAAGCUCUCAGAGCAGACAAGGUGACUUGGGGUUGGCAGCCAUAACAUCUCCACAGUGGAACUCUGGUCUCCAGGCAGAAGCUGCUACAGCAAGCCACCGGCCAAGAUGCCUCCUGUCCCCUCAGGCCUAAUGAGAAGAGACAGGCCAACCACGGAGUCUGCUCGCCAGAAGCUGUGUCCCCCAACCGCUUGGAGCACCUCGGGGGCAGAGGAGUCCACACUACGCACCCUGCACCCUGGAUGGAGAGGACAGUGUGUCUGCGUUGUGACCUGAGCCGCAGGCCACCGUGCUGGGAAGUCCAGCAAUCCUGGUCUCUGCUGAUUCGUUCAGCGUUAGUGCCUCCUUGGCCCCUCGGCCACCGUGCGAGGCCUCCGCUAAAGUCUGGAGCACUACAGGCCGCGUGGUCCAUGCGGUCAUCUCCGGGCCACCUCCCGCGCCAGGGCACUGGAUGGUGCACGCCGGCCGUCCUUCAGGGACCUGCCUUACAACCAUUCGGCCUCCUGGUGUUGGUGGGGCUCCUCAUAAUGGAGUCAGGGUGUGGGUUUCUCAGAUGGGGCGAAAAUUUGGCACCCCUCAAAUCAACACUCUUCCUGGGUUUGCUCAGCAUCUAUAAUGAGGUGGGUGGGGGUGCAGGCAGGGGAGGCGAGAUCAGGGCCGCCCCCUCAGGGCCGCUGGGCUGCUGCAGCUCACCAGACUCUGCCUCCUUCGGAAACCUAAGGCACCUGCUCUAUCUUACGCACGAGCCUCGAGGCUCUAGCCCACAGCAGGCCCAGCAAAAUCUACCCAAAUCUCUGAGCACAGAGAGUCGUCUCCUGAGAGAUCUCUGUGUGAGCACGAUUUUCUCCAUCAUCACUGUGAACCAACCAAUGUCUCCGUGUCUCUACCGCUUCGGCCCAGUCAGGUCACAUGAUUUCUGGCUCACCCAUGGAUUUUAAGAAUGAAGAUAGAGAGAUGGAAGCUCUCAAGGCAAUCCAAGGACAGGAGGAAGAGUGGGCUGGGCUCCAUGAAGCUUGGAAGCAGUGGCUACUUCUGCACCUAAAGUGGUUCUGGCCUUCGGUCAAGUGUCCACUCUCCAACCCUCUCAAAUAUGGCAAGUCAAAAAAAUGGUCUGGUAAGAUAAAACAUGGAAGGUGGCCAGCUGAGUUCUGGAAGUAAUUACUAAAUAAGGGCAAAUAAGGAGACUGCUAAAUUCAAAACAAUCUCUGGGAGCGAAACUAUGAAGACUCAACAUUUGACAGAAUAAAUCAGCAUCUUGAGAAGGUAGAGACCCA
rnacentral:lncRNA from 12 species